CUUUCCACUUUCAUCCCUUUGGAACCUUCAGCUAUCAAAUGUUGAGGUUAUAUUAGAAUAUGUAACAAAGCUCAAAAUGGAGGCUACAUUGGAUAGGAUAAUAGCUGUUGGAUUAAUCAAGCACAUGAAGAACUUUUGAGUUAUUUCUAAGAAGAGUAGCCAAGUGGAUGAACCAUUACAGCCUUCUUUUUGUGGAACAUUUAUGCCAUAAAACCUUAGCUUAUGAGUACGAGGUUAUUGAUGAUGAUGAUUGGUACACGGACCUCAUGUUCCCUUCCGGGACAUUGAUCAUGCCAUCAGCCUCACUUCUUCUAUAUUUCCAGGAAGAUGUGUCAGUUGUCAACCAUUGGAUUUUCAACGGGAAGAAUUUUGGGACUCGCCCUGCAUAAUGGUUGAAGAACUUGGACUCUAAUAUGGAUGAGAUGAAGAAAAUAAUGGAGUCUUCCACUGGCAGCAAGGAAGAGGCAAUGAAAAUGAUAAUCCAAUCGCGAAAUUAUUGCAUGGCCACAAGCGAGCUAUUCUUGUAUAAUGAUGAGGAAGAAUGGAUGGGUUCUCAUGUCGUCUUUAAGAAGAAAUUGUUUCGAGAGUAGUUGAAUAGGUAGUAUUACUUGGUUAAAUAAUCUGGGUGGUUUAGUUGAAUAAGCAAUUCGUUGUAUUAGAGCCAGUCCAUAUUGGGCUCAUUAGAGUCCACACGUAUUGUAGACGCUAUAAUCUUUUAUAAAUAAUAUUUUUGUA